CGCUGGCGGCAGGCCUAACACAUGCAAGUCGAGCGGUAGAGAGAAGCUUGCUUCUCUUGAGAGCGGCGGACGGGUGAGUAAUGCCUAGGAAUCUGCCUGGUAGUGGGGGAUAACGCUCGGAAACGGACGCUAAUACCGCAUACGUCCUACGGGAGAAAGCAGGGGACCUUCGGGCCUUGCGCUAUCAGAUGAGCCUAGGUCGGAUUAGCUAGUUGGUGAGGUAAUGGCUCACCAAGGCGACGAUCCGUAACUGGUCUGAGAGGAUGAUCAGUCACACUGGAACUGAGACACGGUCCAGACUCCUACGGGAGGCAGCAGUGGGGAAUAUUGGACAAUGGGCGAAAGCCUGAUCCAGCCAUGCCGCGUGUGUGAAGAAGGUCUUCGGAUUGUAAAGCACUUUAAGUUGGGAGGAAGGGCAUUAACCUAAUACGUUGGUGUCUUGACGUUACCGACAGAAUAAGCACCGGCUAACUCUGUGCCAGCAGCCGCGG
rnacentral:rRNA from 1 species